rnacentral:rRNA from 1 species
UUCUCCUAAGGCUAAAUAACGGCGAGAGACCGAUAGCGAACAAGUAGGUUCCAAUCGUCCGUGAGGGAAAGAUGAAAAGAACUUUGAAAAGAGAGUUAAACAGUACGUGAAAUUGUUGAAAGGGAAACGAUUGAAGCCAGUCGUACCUUCGGGUAAUCAGCCUUUCGGGUGCGAUUCUGUGAGGUGUGAGGAGUUAAACGCCUUCAUGUUUUGCAUAUUCGUGCUCUUGGGUGUACUUGCCCGUGUGGUUGGUUAACAUCAAUUUUGGACGCCAUAAAAUGACUGGAGGAAUGUAGCUUCGAUCUCGUAUUGAAGUGUUAUAGCCUUUGGUAGAUGUGGUUUUCGAGAUUGAGGAUUGCAACGGAUACCCUUCGGGGCUACCUAUCUGAUCUCUGAUCGUUGCUCUGGUGCCGAAAGCUUGCUUACGGAUAUCAAAGUCGAUGGUCAAUAGGUUAGAAUAGGUUAAAUUCGUUAAGGAUGUUGACGUAAUGGCUUUAAACGACCCGUCUUGAAACACGGACCGAGGAGUCUAACAUAUAUGCGAGUGUUAGGGUGAUUAAACCCUUACGCGUAAUGAAAGUAAUUUUGGUGGGA